GCUCUGAGGACAGCGGCUAUUGUAUGGCUGCUCGUAGGAUAAGGCUAAUCUUAUCAUGAACACACUACCCUCCUGAACGCUAUUCCACACUGUUUCUCCUCCCCCUACCAGACUACCUGAUGGACACUGGGGAGGAGGUUCAUUUGAACUGCACCUCAGCCAUGAAGAACAGUGGGCUCUAGGGCUGGCUGUGACUCCUGACCUGUCCUUGCCCUGCUCCAAUCUAGAAAUUCCUUACUUCUGAAAGGCCUUAGAUGUUUCAAGUCCUUGUAGAAGUUGCUGUAGAAGUCAGGCCAUCAUCUUUAGUCAAGGACUUUACUCCGUCAAUUUCUGCAGAAAAUGAACUUCCCACAGUCUCAAAGAUUAUUGCCUACAGAACAGGGUUUCUGUGUAGUCCUGGCUGUCCUGGAACUCCAAUGUAGGCCUCAAUCAGGCUAGCUUCAAACUCAUGUCCACCUGGUUUCAUCUUCCAAAUACUGGGAAUUAAAGUCAUGCA